GUGUGCACCAGCUGGAUGGAGCUGCCUGGCUGUGUUGCCCUGGGGUCCCUGGUCUCUGUGCCUGGGGUCCUGGUUCAUCUCCUGCUUGCUCUUGCUGGGGAUGCUGUCUGUGCAGGCAGGCGGGCCUGCAGCCGUUGGCUGACACCCUGUCCCGUGGAAAGCGGGGAGGCCCCACUGUCAUCACCAGGAGAUAACACCCCAUUGGCCAGCCCGGCUCAGCUCUGCUUGUGGUUAGGGGAGUUUUGGAGUGAACGUGUUCAGACCCCUCUACUUCCUGAAACUUCAGUGAGCCCUGGAGAGGGGCACACGGCGCCGCGGCAGGAUGGGCCUGGGUCCUUUUAAACUGCCGCAGUACACUUCUCAUUAGGACCUGCAAGGCGCACAGGGUGCACUAGAAAGCUUAUUUUAGAGCCAGCCUGAGAUUGGAACCUGCGAAUAUGCCAGGAAAUGCCACCCUAGUGGCCACCCCUGUCCCUCAGACCAUCUCAGGACCGGCUGGGCUCUGCAACGCAUCCUUUGCAUCCUU